rnacentral:rRNA from 1 species
GAUGAACGCUGGCGGCGUGCCUAAUACAUGCAAGUCGAGCGAAUGGAUUAAGAGCUUGCUCUUAUGAAGUUAGCGGCGGACGGGUGAGUAACACGUGGGUAACCUGCCCAUAAGACUGGGAUAACUCCGGGAAACCGGGGCUAAUACCGGAUAACAUUUUGAACCGCAUGGUUCGAAAUUGAAAGGCGGCUUCGGCUGUCACUUAUGGAUGGACCCGCGUCGCAUUAGCUAGUUGGUGAGGUAACGGCUCACCAAGGCAACGAUGCGUAGCCGACCUGAGAGGGGGGUCGGCCACACUGGGACUGGAACACGGCCCAGACUCCUACGGGAGGCAGCAGUAGGGAAUCUUCCGCAAUGGACGAAAGUCUGACGGAGCAACGCCGCGUGAGUGAUGAAGGCUUUCGGGUCGUAAAACUCUGUUGUUAGGGAAGAACAAGUGCUAGUUGAAUAAGCUGGCACCUUGACGGUACCUAACCAGAAAGCCACGGCUAACUACGUGCCAGCAGCCGCAGUAA